AGAGUUUGAUCCUGGCUCAGGACGAACGCUGGCGGCGCGCCUAACACAUGCAAGUCGAACGAGCGAGAGAGAGCUUGCUUUCUCGAGCGAGUGGCGAACGGGUGAGUAACGCGUGAGGAACCUGCCUCAAAGAGGGGGACAACAGUUGGAAACGACUGCUAAUACCGCAUAAGCCCACAGCUCGGCAUCGAGCAGAGGGAAAAGGAGCAAUCCGCUUUGAGAUGGCCUCGCGUCCGAUUAGCUAGUUGGUGAGGUAACGGCCCACCAAGGCGACGAUCGGUAGCCGGACUGAGAGGUUGAACGGCCACAUUGGGACUGAGACACGGCCCAGACUCCUACGGGAGGCAGCAGUGGGGAAUAUUGCACAAUGGGGGAAACCCUGAUGCAGCGACGCCGCGUGGAGGAAGAAGGUCUUCGGAUUGUAAACUCCUGUUGUUGAGGAAGAUAAUGACGGUACUCAACAAGGAAGUGACGGCUAACUACGUGCCAGCAGCCGCGGUAAAACGUAGGUCACAAGCGUUGUCCGGAAUUACUGGGUGUAAAGGGAGCGCAGGCGGGAAGACAAGUUGGAAGUGAAAUCCAUGGGCUCAACCCAUGAACUGCUUUCAAAACUGUUUUUCUUGAGUAGUGCAGAGGUAGGCGGAAUUCCCGGUGUAGCGGUGGAAUGCGUAGAUAUCGGGAGGAACACCAGUGGCGAAGGCGGCCUACUGGGCACCAACUGACGCUGAGGCUCGAAAGUGUGGGUAGCAAACAGGAUUAGAUACCCUGGUAGUCCACACCGUAAACGAUGAUUACUAGGUGUUGGAGGAUUGACCCCUUCAGUGCCGCAGUUAACACAAUAAGUAAUCCACCUGGGGAGUACGACCGCAAGGUUGAAACUCAAAGGAAUUGACGGGGGCCCGCACAAGCAGUGGAGUAU
rnacentral:rRNA from 1 species